rnacentral:rRNA from 1 species
UGCAGUCGACGGCAGCACAGUAGAGCUUGCUCUAUGGGUGGCGAGUGGCGGACGGGUGAGUAAUGCAUCGGGAUCUACCCAAACGUGGGGGAUAACGUAGGGAAACUUACGCUAAUACCGCAUACGUCUUACGAGAGAAAGCAGGGGACCUUCGGGCCUUGCGCGGUUGGACGAACCGAUGUGCGAUUAGCUAGUUGGUAGGGUAAUGGCCUACCAAGGCGACGAUCGCUAGCUGGUCUGAGAGGAUGAUCAGCCACACUGGAACUGAGACACGGUCCAGACUCCUACGGGAGGCAGCAGUGGGGAAUAUUGGACAAUGGGCGCAAGCCUGAUCCAGCAAUGCCGCGUGUGUGAAGAAGGCCUUCGGGUUGUAAAGCACUUUUAUCAGGAGCGAAAUACUACCGGCUAAUAUCCGGUGGGGCUGACGGUACCUGAGGAAUAAGCACCGGCUAACUUCGUGCCAGCAGCCGCGGUAAUACGAAGGGUGCAAGCGUUAAUCGGAAUUACUGGGCGUAAAGCGUGCGUAGGCGGUUAUUUAAGUCUGUUGUGAAAUCCCCGGGCUCAACCUGGGAAUGGCAAUGGAUACUGGAUAGCUAGA